rfam:Beta vulgaris subsp. vulgaris Bvchr5.sca002.con0234.1, whole genome shotgun sequence.
UUGAUUUAGAGAGAUCUGAUAAAAUUAGAACGACACAGAGAAGAUUAGUGUGACCCCAACACAAAAAAGGACACGCACAAUCGAGAAAUGGUCUAAAUUUGU